CGGCUGUUGGAAGAUGAUACCUUGAGUGAUCCAUCGACUGUACACAAAAUGAUGAUCUCUUCAGUGCUGACGACGGCCA